rnacentral:pre_miRNA from 2 species
UUGAGUUUCCUACUGUGUAAUUUAAAAAUACAUUUCCUGUUGAUACUACCAGAUCCUAGAACCCUAUCGAUAUUGUCUCUGCUGUGUACAUAGCUGUGAGUAGUGCAAUAUUGCUUAUAGGGUUUUAGUGUUUGGAAAGAACAGUGGCCA